GAUGCUGAAGAGUACCAGCCUCCGAUAUGGAAAUCAUACUUGUAUCAGUUACAGCAGGAGGCGCCCCGUCCCAAGAGGAUCGUUUGUCCUCAGGAGGUGGAGAACAGACCAAAAUAUUAUGGAAGAGAGUUCCACGGGAUCAUCUCUCGGGAGCAGGCCGACGAGCUUCUCCGAGGGGUGGAGGGCGCCUACAUCCUCAGGGAAAGCCAGCGCCAGCCGGGAUGCUACACCUUAGCUC